rnacentral:rRNA from 1 species
CUAGGUGGUGCUCGGUUGGUGGAGAGGUGGAGCGAAAGGGGUGGCCUGGUUAGGUAGGGUCGGUAGGGUUAGGGGUGCUUCUAGGAAGAGCGGUGGCGGGCGUCGGAGAGGAACGAUGCGCCCGACGUGCUCGUGUUGUCGGCGAGCCCGUGGUCUGGGGCGAGGGCGGGCCUAGCUCCGGUGGCGGCGAGGAGGGCACGCGGAAGGCGGUGGUACUCGGCGGCCGCUCGUCGUCGCGGUCCUUGGUACCUCGGGCUUCGGUACCGGCGCGGAGGGCAGCUGGAGGCGGUACCAACCGGCGUCGAGGGAGCGGCGGCAAACGUGGUCCGGUCGGCCCUCUGCCUGCUUGGGCAGGAGGGCGCAGGUAGGGGCGCAGGGCGAGCAGGGCCUCGAGGGUACGAAGCGGUUAAGACCCCGGCGGCACAACGGAGCAGUGGCCUCGGGACGUCCUCGUGGUCGACCGCGGUGGUAGUAGCCGCUACCCGAAGGCGGCCGGCCUAGGCUGCGGGACCUCUGGGUGCGGGGGCGGCUUGGAGGAAGGAGGCGGGGUUCAGGGAGCUAGGUGGCAAGCCUCGGGUGGAGGAACGACAGGGGCCACGGUAGCGCGUAUACGAAGGAGACGAAGUUCCUGCUGGCGUCGCGGUUCAGGGCGAGCUAGGUCGGCGAGGCAACUGGCGCGGAGACGGAGGUCUAGUGGGCCGGGUCGCGCGGAGGGUUCGGGUGAUACAUCGACCGGGUCGUUGGCUGGGUUCGGCGGGACGGCGGGAGGGAGGAGGAGGCUUACCCGGCUCCGGGUACCGCUCCGGUCGACGCGCGGGAGGAAAAAAGGUGACAACCCGGUCGGAGACUAAGCCGGGUAUAUACAAAAAAAUGUCUAGACGCUAAAAGGAUUAAUAGGUCCCUUAACAUCAAAACAUCAAAUCAGGGAUUUGAAGUACGUAUAGGAUUGAUUAAUUGGCACGUAGCAUAAUUUUGUUUGAAAUAUACUUUUUACGAAUCUUAAAACAGAUCAAAGUAUUAAACGUUUAAAGUAGAUAUAAAUUUUACAAAUUGAACAACAAACGUAAUUAAACGAGGAUACGGUACAAUUUUAUGAAAUAAAAGUAUUGAUUUAUUGACAUUGAACCAAAGAUUAUUUGAAAUAUACAUUUACUCCACCUUUUUACGGAUCAAAUUGUACCACGUGAGUAGAUCGUACAAAUUGUUGAGAUUUUAAUACAAAUCCCAUCUUGUUAUGGUUGAGAUUUUAAACGUACACCCCCAAAUGGCCUUAGCAACAAACUACAAAGGUCGGAGUAAAUUUGAACGGAUCUAUCCAUCAAAACAACACGAAGUGGGGAACGGUACGAUUGGUUAUAAAUUAUAACAACUCAUGGAUUUGCCCUCCCUUCAUUUAUUAACAACACCACAAAGCAGUUAUACGUUGAGCAACGUAUAACUCGAGGUGAAUUGAACAACAAAACAAACACGUGGAACGGUACGGUACGUAUAAUUUGGCCUGUACGUAGUAUGAACCAACACGUAGUACGGUACAAAUACACUACCAUCAAAUGGCACAACAAACGAAGAAAGGUCACAACGAUGAAGUCCAACCAAGGCUAUUUCAGCGCAAACACUCCUAAGCAAGCUGAAGCAGGCAAACAGAAGAAGUACCUGAGCAAGAAGAAGGAACGCCCUAGAGUCAACGUCCACGGCAACUAUGAUCACGUCUACUGCGUUGACUCUAGUUCCCCUCGAGUUACUUCUAGCACAAACAACACAACAAAGCAAAGGAAAGCUAGUUAUCACCUCGGGUCAACCCCGCUAGCCCCUAGUUCGUAAUCCCCAACAGAAAGAAAUAAAGCCAAGGCAUCAGCCUGGAACUUACAUAAGACCUACUACAUUACGAUAUAAAUACAUAACACACUUCACCGCUAACAUUC